rnacentral:misc_RNA from 1 species
CUGCGACUCUCACCAGUUACAUUUGCGUCCUGCAAACUAUCAGUCGGAUUCAGCUGGUUGGAGUCGCUAGGUUGUGGGUGCGAAGACAAGUCACUCACAAGUGUUCUUCAAAGGCGUAAAACAUGACUGCUGGGGCUCAGGGUCACCCUGGGUGGGUGGACAACCAUCCGACCACUCUGAAGUUCUUGGCUGCAGCACAAACUUGUCUUCACCCACACACCUACACCAUCUCCAGCAAGAAAGAUCAUGAAAAACUCUCUGAAGAUUCAACUAGCAAUUCUAUAAAUCUUGCUGCUGAUGAUUCAGAAACUCUGAUGGAGGACAGUCUUGACAAUGCUAUGGAGAUUGUUGAAAAAAAUGUGAUACAUCAGUUUGACAAGACAUGUGAAAGUGAUGUAUUCCUUGAUAUCGCUCCUGAGUAUCGAUUUCCUUUAGAAAUAUCUGAAUUGCUGCUAUCCAUAUUUUGUACCCACUACCCCAACAAAGCCAACAGCCUCAACUUGUCAAUAUUUAGGCAUCCUGAAAAAUGUAAAAUCCGUAAGGCACUUUUAAGAGGUUGUAAUGCAGACGAUGACUGCGUGAAAUAUUUUUUCCAGCAUCAGUUAACACAUCUUGAUGUGAGAGACUGCAAAUACAUUUCAUCCACUUCGUUUUAUACUGUUCAGGAGAAAGGGCAUCAUCUCCAGUCACUUGCUGUGGGCAGUGGUUUUUUUGAUGAUGUACCUAAAAGUAAACUCUCCCUGAACAUGCCAGAUUUACGCAGCCUCGUCAUCAAUAAUGCUUUCAUCUCCGAUGAAUCUCUAUCAGGCUUCAUGAAACAGUCCAAUUUCAAGAACCUAAGAUCUCUAGACCUGUCUGGUUCAGACCAGCUUGAUGAUCUGUCCCCAUUUGUGUCAUUACCUCUUAUAAAUCUGACUCUUCACAAUUGCAAUGCUUCUGAAGAUUGGCUCCUUAUUAUACCUCUCAUAUCUAACCUGAGGCGACUCGACAUAUCUCGCAGUAAGAAUCAAAACUGUCAGUUUGCCAAUAGUGACGUGCUACUGGAGAAGAUUGUUGAAAAUCUUCCAAACUUGACAUACUUGGAUAUUUCGGGCACAAAUCUUUGUGGUACCAAGAAGACGCAACCAGUUUUUGACGGGAAUGGCUCGCUGAUUGGGCACACAGAUAUUCCUGCGCUGCGGUGCCGCGUGGGGCGACCUCUUGAGGUGCUGGGGCUCUGCCACACCACUGAAGAGGCCUGCAAGUGGCCCAACUUGCCUGCUAUCAAAGUGUUGGGUGACGCCAACGAGCUACAGAUCCUGGAGACGGUGGAGGUGCUGAUGCCGUGCAAGGAGCAGGUGACGACCGCCCUCAACGAGCUCUUCCAUCAGUUCCGCUACGAGACUGUGCAGGACGUACAGCGUGCCAUGCGCCUCAUCUUCCAGGCCAUGACACUCUACCACUUCGAUGAACACGUUCAGAUCUCCGGCAGCGCAUCGCUGUUCUACAUCAUGCGGCUCGAGGCGGACUCUCAGGACCACCCCGUGGUGACGGCCGCUGCACGACAACAGAUGGUCACGCUCAUGAUCAACGCCAUGGAGAGGUUCCCCCAUGACAACAUCCUCAUGAGGAAUGGCUGCCUCACCAUCAGUCAGCUCAAAGUGCCCCAGCAAGUGGUAUUUGAGUACGAACGUCUAGUGUCACUGCUGCUGGUGGUGAUCCGACACCGAGGGAACGUGAGCAACUCGACGAGCAACAAUGAGCGCGACAUGGCGGACUUUGUGUGCCGCAUCAGCAUCUACUUGCUGAACAGCUUAGCGUGCCAGGUGGAGGGGCAACACAGGCAGCUGGUCGGCGAUCUCGGCGCUGUCGAGACGAUGCUGUGCCUCAUCAGUGACAAGCUCAAGACCAAGACCCACGACGACAUGCUCGAGCUCGCGUGGAGUGUCAUGUGGAACGUCACGGACGAGACACCACGGAACUGCCAGCGCUUCCUGGACGGCAGCGGCAUGACUUACUUCAGCGACUGCCUCCAGACCUUCAAGGAACACGAGGAUCUAUUACGCAACAUGAUGGGGCUACUGGGCAACGUGGCAGAGGUGCGUCAUCUGCGCUGUCGUCUCCUCACCCCUGAACUCAUCGACACCUUCACCGGACUGCUGAAGAGCAGCUCAGGCGGCAUAGAGGUGAGCUACAACGCAGCAGGCGUGCUGAGCCACAUUGCGAGCGACGGUCCCGAGACUUGGGUGAUCGAGCGGCCCAAGAGGGACGUCGUGCUCGCCGCCCUCACCUCCGCCAUCAACAAGUGGGACAUCGAAGUGCGGCGCAACAUUAACUAUCGGUCCUUCGAGCCCAUCCUGCGCCUGCUGGCCGUGAAGCAUACGCCUCAGUGCCAGCACUGGGCCGCCUGGGCUCUGGCCAACCUCACGCGCGUCUACCCUGACAAGUACUGCAACUUGGUGGUGAGCGAAGGAGGCCUGGAGAUCCUGGAGAGAGUUCGGCAGGAGACGGACGCAGCGCAAAUCAGACGGCUUGCCCAGACUGUCAUCGCGCACUGUCAUGCCUACAAGGAGGACGGGAACUUGGACAAGCUGUACUCGAAAGCAGUUCUGCCGGAGCCUUGACUUGCCUGCAAGUUCCAGCUUUUCCCUGUCAUGCCGUCUCUCUAGGAGCCGACACGUCGCCUCAAUAGCUAUGAAACACCACCGACACCACGUCCGUCGUGUCAAGAAUAUUUCUCACUUAAGUUAAAAACUUAUAAUCUGCAAGAUGGAGCAAUUGGACGUAAGAUCGAAACGUCAAGUCCAGGUAAAAAGUGUGAAUAAUCUGGCUCAACAAAGGUACGUAACACACGUUAUUUCUUCCGCGCAUUGCAUAUUUAGAGUAUUCAACUACAUUAAAGUGCAAGCCCAAUAAAAGCUGAUCCAUACAUUAAAGCAUCCUCCAAAUAGUCAACUAAUAGCACGAAAGCAACUGCAAGGCUGGAAAAUUAUACGGUUGUAGG